rnacentral:rRNA from 1 species
GUGGGGAAUCUUCCGCAAUGGACGAAAGUCUGACGGAGCAACGCCGCGUGAGUGAAGAAGGUUUUCGGAUCGUAAAGCUCUUUCGUUAGGGACGAACGUGCUCUUUGUGAAUAAUGAGGAGUAAUGACGGUACCUAAAUAAGAAGCCACGGCUAACUACGUGCCAGCAGCCGCGGUAAUACGUAGGUGGCAAGCGUUGUCCGGAAUUAUUGGGCGUAAAGCGCGCGCAGGCGGGAUAUCAAGUCUGUCUUAAAAGUGCGAGGCUCAACCUCGUGAGGGGACAGAAACUGGUAUUCUUGAGUGUCGGAGAGGAAAGUGGAAUUCCAAGUGUAGCGGUGAAAUGCGUAGAGAUUUGGAAGAACACCAGUGGCGAAGGCGACUUUCUGGACGAAAACUGACGCUGAGGCGCGAAAGCCAGGGGAGCGAACGGGAUUAGAUACCCUUGUAGUCC